UACGGAGGGUGCAAGCGUUAUCCGGAUUUACUGGGUUUAAAGGGUGCGUAGGUGGGCCUGUAAGUCAGUGGUGAAAUCUUCAAGCUUAACUUGGAAACUGCCAUUGAUACUAUAGGUCUUGAAUUAUCUGGAGGUAAGCGGAAUAUGUCAUGUAGCGGUGAAAUGCUUAGAGAUGACAUAGAACACCCAUUGCGAAGGCAGCUUACUACGGAUUGAUUGACACUGAGGCACGAAAAGCGUGGGGAGUCAAACAGG
rnacentral:rRNA from 1 species